rnacentral:misc_RNA from 1 species
UCCACCUGGCUUACCUCUUCAGUUGUUUGUUUAGGCUUGUAUCGCCUAGGCAGAUUGUCGGUUUCAUGUGUUGCUUUCCUAAGUUACGGUAUUGUCCCUUUGAUCAUAGUUGCUUUUGUCUUGUGUCAUUCUUAUGGCACCAGGUAAACCCUAAGGCUGUCUCUUUGAUCCACAGGGUUGAUGCUAGCACUGAUUUUGUGGCCCAUUGAGCGUUGCUUGGUAUCUUGGAUAUGGAAAACAAUGUGGGCAUGGGGUCUCAUGGGAUCCUGGUUAUGCCCUUGUUUAGCAUGCGUGCGUCUCUUAAUACGACUUCCUGGCUCGCAUUGGCUCGUACCAGCGGACGGGAUUUGUCAAAGAGUUGUGCGUCCCUCAAAAUGACCGCCUAGCCCGCAUUGGCUCGUACCAGCGGGUGGGUUACGUCAAAAAGGAAUGCUACCUGGUUGAUCCUGCCAGUAGUCAUAUGCUUGUCUCAA